rnacentral:rRNA from 1 species
GAUGAACGCUGGCGGCGUGCCUAAUACAUGCAAGUCGAGCGAACGGACGAGAAGCUUGCUUCUCUGAUGUUAGCGGCGGACGGGUGAGUAACACGUGGUUAACCUACCUAUAAGACUGGGAUAACUUCGGGAAACCGUAGCUAAUACCGGAUAAUAUUUUGAACCGCAUGGUUCAAAAGUGAAAGACGGUCUUGCUGUCACUUAUAGAUGGAUCCGCGCUGCAUUAGCUAGUUGGUAAGGUAACGGCUUACCAAGGCAACGAUGCAUAGCCGACCUGAGAGGGAGAUCAGCCACAAUCGAACUGAGACACGUUCAAGACGCCUACGGGAGGCAGCAGUAGGGAAUCUUCCGAAAUGGGCGAAAGCCUGACGGGGCAACGCCGCGUGAGUGAUGAAGGUCUUCGGAUCGUAAAACUCUGGUAUUCGGGAAGAACAUAUGUGUAGGUAACUGUGAACAUCUUGACGGUACCUAAUCAGAAAGCCAGGGCUAGCUACGUG